CACACACACACACUCAACCCUCUCCCCUCAGUGAGCCUCCAAACCUCUUUCGUCUCCUCACUCCUCUAUCGGGUCCUCGGGGGGGAAGGGAAACCCAUGAAAUGAUUCCUGACAUGACGGAUCACAGAGCAGCGCUGGUUGAGCCGUCUGAUAUCAACACUUUUCUGCCUGACUGUGGACAAGUAAGGCAGGGGGAUUUGCAAUGAUUUCCCCUGGCUGUAGCUGCAGCUGUAUCUGCUCCUGCUGACUGAAGUUACUGACGCCAGCCCACUGUGCAAGUUCACCCACACAAACACUGUCACAUGGAAAACUGUUUGUGAGGGGCAUGUUUGGACAUACUGGGUUUUCAUCUGGAGGCAAACCUUAAUAGCACCUAAGGUUUGGACUAUCUACUCGACUCGUGUCAGUGUUGGACUACAGUGUGUGGUUCGACUCAUUAUUUGGAUGUUUCCAAGGACGUCUGAUCAAAGUUCUGAGUGAUUUAACGGAUCGUCUUUUUCCGCUCAUCAUGUAUGGCCCCUUAAGGAAAAAUCAACCAAAGUGCUGGAGAAAGAAUGUCUUAACAGUAAAGAAGAAGAGACUAAACAGAAAGAAACACUGCAGCGGACGAAGAGGGAGAAAAUUCACAGUCUCUACUCUGGAUGACUUUUUUUUCCUGAAUGAAAAAUGUCUUACCUUCAAGAAUGACUUCUUUGCCAGUUUUCUUCAGCGCCUGCACAGCCUCAUCGUGUGUGGCUUCCCGUAAGUCAUAACCAUUGACAGACAGUAUGGCGUCACCAACAUAAAGCGCCUCAGUCUGGUCAGCAGCCAGGCCCUUAAAAAUCUUGGAGAUGAGGAUUGGCAUCUUGUUCUCCCUCCCACCUGCAAUACAGAAAGGAAGAAUAAUGUUUUGUCUUCUAACCUGCUGUUUCAUGUGUGGCACAGUGAAACCACAGCAUUCAAUCACCUUUGACCCAGGAUCAGAUUUACAAAGCAGCUUGGAAUUAAGUUCUUUGCUACUUACACAAUCCAUACAAAGUGCAACAGUAGAGGCUGGUUAGUAGCCUCUGUGCCACACCUCCUCAUAUUUCAGCAUUUAAGGUGUAUGUACUAACUUCUGCAGUUUCCUGUCGCUUCCUCUCCCUCCCUCUCUCACUCGUUAAAUGAAGGUCAGCUAGAAAGCUGAUGGAUCUGCCUCUCGCUGUGGGCUACUCUUCAUGAGAAAUAUCGUCAUUAAUGUCAGCUGGCACUUGCACCCUGGCCUUCAGGCGAAUGAGAAAUUAUCUAAAAGGGGAUUACAUUUAAUUAAUUUUAAACACAUCUUCCACAGGUUGCUUCCUCUGGGCGAUUCCUUAGGUUUUAACUCAUGUAUCUUCCUUUAGAGGCCACAGCGCAGUGCUCUUAAUAAAGAAACUCCAGGGCUGAGCUGACGUCUUCUUAUUAUGCAUGACGAUCACUUUGCCACUCGUGUUUUAGAAAGAGGGAUUUACCAGCUGCUUGACCGCUUCAUGGCAUCAGAUAGUUGUUUACUGCUUUGCACUGAGUCUCUGAAUCAUGAUAUGCUGAUUAAAAUUUCAGAGUGGAGAUGAGGUGAAGAGGAACCUUCAGCAGUGUUGGUGGUGAUGUCAUUGAAAUUUUAAUCACUGAGAGUAUCUAUCAAAAUGAACCUGAAUCAUUUCUUUGAAUCGUUAAAUAUAAUAAAUGCACUGGGAUUUGGCACAGGGACAUGAAGGAGACAGUUAACAUAUUUCCCCAUGACUGAUGAUGAUUGUGGACACAAAUAUAAAGAAGUGUACAAUGCAAAGGAAAAGCAAAGUACAGCUGUAGAUACUGUGACUGUGAGAGAACUGAAUAAAGUGUUACCUUAUAGGAAACAUUUAAAA